AACGAACGCUGGCGGCAUGCCUAACACAUGCAAGUCGAACGAGAUCUUCGGGUCUAGUGGCGCACGGGUGCGUAACGCGUGGGAAUCUGCCCUUUGGUUCGGAAUAACAGUUGGGAACGACUGCUAAUACCGGAUGAUGACGAAAGUCCAAAGAUUUAUCGCCAGAGGAUGAGCCCGCGUAGGAUUAGCUAGUUGGGGUGGUAAAGGCGCACCAAGGCGACGAUCCUUAGCUGGUCUGAGAGGAUGAUCCGCCACACUGGGACUGAGACACGGCCCAGACUCCUACGGGAGGCAGCAGUGGGGAAUAUUGGACAAUGGGCGAAAGCCUGAUCCAGCAAUGCCGCGUGAGUGAUGAAGGCCUUAGGGUUGUAAAGCUCUUUUACCCGGGAUGAUAAUGACAGUACCGGGAGAAUAAGCUCCGGCUAACUCCGUGCCAGCAGCCGCGGUAA
rnacentral:rRNA from 1 species